UACGUAGGGACCAAGCGUUGUUCGGAUUUACUGGGCGUAAAGCGCGCGCAGGCGGCGGUAUAAGCAUGGCGUGAAAGCCCCAGGCUCAACCUGGGAGGGUCGUCGUGGACUGUACCGCUUGAGGGCGGUAGGGGCUGGUGGAAUGCCUGGUGUAGUGGUGAAAUGCGUAGAGAUCAGGCGGAACACCCGUGGCGAAGGCGGCCAGCUGGGCCGUCCCUGACGCUGAGGCGCGAAGGCGUGGGGAGCGAACAGG
rnacentral:rRNA from 1 species